rnacentral:antisense_RNA from 1 species
UUGGAUUUCCUUUGGCAGGGUUCCCUUGUAUGGAAGUUCUCGGGAGAACAACACUCUCAGAGUCCCAUUGUCUCAAAGAAUUCUUAAUGGACAGCUAUACUUGGCCCCAAGGUUCCAACCUCACAUUGAAGAAAGUGACAUAAGAAAACACAAGUCCCAGCGCUAUCAGGGGCUAUCUGGAAAAGCUGCUUAAACGGCAAGUGAAAGAAGGCUCUCCCCUACCCCGUUCUAGUUAUAAACGUCACAUCUCUUAAAAUACAGCCAAGGUGAUGAAGCUGAUGGAGUAUGAUGGUGUUCAAACUUACAUAAGCUAAUUCAAUAGACAACUAGAAAUGCCAAUGAGUCUACCGUCCUAUGUAAGAUACACAUACCACAUGCUGUCAACCCAUCUGAGACACUCAGCUUUCAAAUGACAGCUCUUCUCUGAAGCUAACCUAGCCAAAAGAGUGAAGUACACUAUCCAUUAAGCUGUGUCAGUAGCUAAGUCUGUGUGUCUAAAUUAAAAACAUACUCACCCUGAAGUUAUUUGAAGGAUCCUUGAAACUCUUUUGGAUUGCUGCUUGGAGAACAUUCCUGUAACUUGUUCCUGCUCCUUGAACUAUAAAAGCAGAAGGGAAUUACUGAGUUAAAACUUAUAAAUUAUUAUCA